rnacentral:tRNA from 1 species
GCUGGGGUGGCAGAACUGGGAUAUGCAGUAGACUUAAAAUCUACCGCCUUUAAUGGAUUGGGGGUUCGAAUCCCCUCCCCAGCACCA